UGGGGAAUAUUGCACAAUGGGGGAGACCCUGAUGCAGCGAUGCCGCGUGGAGGAAGAAGGUUUUCGGAUUGUAAACUCCUGUCGUAAGGGAAGAAAAAGGACGGUACCUUACAAGAAAGCUCCGGCUAACUACGUGCCAGCAGCCGCGGUAAUACGUAGGGAGCGAGCGUUGUCCGGAAUUACUGGGUGUAAAGGGAGCGUAGGCGGGAUUGCAAGUCAGAUGUGAAAACUAUGGGCUUAACCUAUAGACUGCAUUUGAAACUGUAGUUCUUGAGUGAAGUAGAGGUAAGCGGAAUUCCUAGUGUAGCGGUGAAAUGCGUAGAUAUUAGGAGGAACAUCGGUGGCGAAGGCGGCUUACUGGGCUUUUACUGACGCUGAGGCUCGAAAGCGUGGGGAGCAAACAGGAUUAGAUACC
rnacentral:rRNA from 1 species